rnacentral:rRNA from 1 species
CUGAUCUACCCCCUGUCUGCCUUAUCAACUGUCGACGGUAGGAGCCCGGCCUACCGUGGUGAUAACGGGUAGCGGGGAAUAAGGGUUCUAUACCGGAGAGGGAGCAUGAGAAACGGCUACCACAUCCAAGGAAGGCAGCAGGCACGCAAAUUACCCACUCCCGGCACGGGGAGGUAGUGACGAUCAAUAACGAUGCGGGACUCUGACGAGGCUCCGUAAUCGGAAUGGGCGUAAUUUAAAUCCUUCGACGAGGAUCAAGUGGAGGGCAAGUCUGGUGCCAGCAGCCGCGGUAAUUCCAGCUCCACUAGCGUAUAUUAAAGUUGCUGCAGUUAAAAAGCUCGUAGUCGGAUCUCGGGAUCGUGUCGGCGGCUUUGUCGCUUCUUCUGCGCUUCGGCGUUGGGAGUUGUGGCAGGUCGUCGGCCCUGUCGGCGAGGUCCCCACCCUUGGUGGGGUUCCACCUCGCUCGUGCAGCCCGCCGUCGCGUUUGGGCGGGUGUCCUUAAUUGGAUGCCCGCUCUCGAACGUGGCCAUUUUACCUUGAACAAAUCGGAGUGCUCAAAGCAGGCUCUUCAUCGCUCGAACGGUAGCGCAUGGAAUAAUGGAAGAGGACCGGCUUCCGCUUCUGUUGGUCUCACGGAGGCAAGUAAUGAUCAAGAGGGACGGAUGGGGACAAAGGUAUGGGCUUGUCGAGAGGUGAAAUUCUUGGACCCUAACCAGACCCUCGAGAGCGAAAGCAUCUGGUCAAGAAGGUUUCCAUUUGAUCAAGAACGAAAAUUCGCGGGAUUCGAACCGUGAUUAAAAUACCCCGGUAGUCGCGACCGUAAACGAUGCCAACCGGGAAUUCGGCGGCGUUACUUCCAUGACCCGUCGAGCGCCCGACCCGGGAAACCGAGAGUCUUUGGGUUCCGGGGGGAGUAUGGUUGCAAAGCUGAAACUUAAAGGAAUUGACGGAAGGGCACCACCAGGAGUGGAGCCUGCGGCUUAAUUUGACUCAACACGGGGAACCUCACCCGGCCCGGACACCGCGAGGAUUGACAGACUGAGAGCUCUUUCUCGAUUCGGUGGGUGGUGGUGCAUGGCCGUUCUUAGUUGGUGGAGCGAUCUGUCUGGUUAAUUCCGAUAACGAACGAGACCCCAACCUGCUAACUAGCCCUCGGGUCCUGCUUCUGUUGGGCCCGACGGAAUGAUUCGCUUCUUAGAGGGACUCGCGGCGCCUAGCCGCACGAAGGGGGGCGAUAACAGGUCUGUGAUGCCCUUAGAUGUUCGGGGCUGCACGCGCGCUACACUGAAGGCAUCAGCGUGCGCUUUGUCCGUUCCCUGCCUGAAAAGGCUGGGUAACCCGCUGAACCGCCUUCGUGCCUGGGAUAGGGAUUUGCAAUUAUCUCCCUUGAACGAGGAAUUCCCAGUAGGCGCGAGUCAUCAGCUCGCGUCGAUUACGUCCCUGCCCUUUGUACACACCGCCCGUCGCUACUACCGAU